UGUAUUGGCUUCCAUCAGUUACUAGAUGUAGAUUCUAUGGUCACAAUUAGAGUAGUCACUAAUCUGAUUAUAUGGGAACAUAAGUUCAGGCACCCUCUCCAUUAUUGCUGGGAGUCUUAGCUGGUGUCAUCCUUGUGGAUUCCUGAGGAUUUCCCUAGCACCAGAUCACAAUGGAAUAUGAAGUAAUUCAUCAUCCUUGAACAUUUGGGCUAUGUGGAAAAGAUUUCAUGACCUGACUCUACAAAUGGAGAAAGUGAGAUUUAAAUCCUCCAUGAAGAUUAUUAUUGAGGACCUUUAACAUCCAAGAACAUUGAUGCCUUGAUGGCACAUACCCCUCCAUUGCAUUAAGUAAACAGUUUGUAUUAAAUAAAACAUGAAGUACUUUCUGAUAA